rnacentral:rRNA from 1 species
GACGGAGGAUGCAAGCGUUAUCCGGAAUGAUUGGGCGUAAAGCGUCCGCAGGUGGCAGUUCAAGUCUGCUGUCAAAGACCGGGGCUUAACUUCGGAAAGGCAGUGGAAACUGAACAGCUAGAGUAUGGUAGGGGCAGAGGGAAUUCCUGGUGUAGCGGUGAAAUGCGUAGAUAUCAAGAGGAACACCUGAGGCGAAGGCGGGCUACUGGGCUGAUACUGACGCUGAGGCGCGAAAGCUAGGGGAGCAAACGGG